CCCAAAAGGAAUUCAUGGGUCUCCAACUUGAAAUAGCCUAUGAUUUUGUCAUUCUCUAAGUCCUCAGCAAGGAAGAGGGAUUAGGUUUGUUCUCUGUGGGCAAGACUCCUAAAGAGCAGAGUUCGGACGGGUUUAAAAUGAAGGAGGCCUAACUGGGAAGUGAUAAGCUUCCCAUCACUGAAAGUGUGUGCGUUCAUGCAUGCUCAGUCAUGUCCAUGGCCCUAUAGACUGUACUCCGCCAGGCUCCUCUGUCCAUGGGAUUUCCCAAUAAGAAUACUGGAGUGGAUUGCUAUUUCCUUCUCCAGGGGAUCUUCCCGCCCCAGGGAUUGAACCCUCGUCUCCUGCAUUGGUAAGCAGAUGCUUUUACCAGUGAGCCACGUGGAAGUCUGUGAGCACAGCUCUGAAAUGCGAUACAGAGGGGAGGGGAUUUGGACCAGUGACUAUGUAAGCCCCUUCCAGCGCUGAUGGGACAGACGAUAAGGAAGGCAAAGUCUCAUAGUGGGAAGAUGCGAAUAAAGGGGACCAGAGUCCACAUUUACUGAAGACCACCCACCGUGCCCCAGCCCUGCGCUUGGUACUUAACAUAUAUUGCUAAUUCUCAGGAAAAUAUUCUUCAAGAUUUAUAGUUGAGGAAACUCAGCUUCAGAGUAGUGACUCUGACACAGAUGGCACAGGUCAUCCAGGUGUCCUCUUCAGGAUUACUUCCCUAGUCCCCUGUGACCAAGUCCGUGUCUCCCUUCCAGCCUUAGGGGGUAGCACCACGUGGCAAAUUGCAUCAUACUUUUGCCAUACGACGUUAGACACCGCGCCAGCCAAUUCAGGAGCUCCCAGUGCGAGCCUCUGCAGACCCAGCGGGUCAGCAACCCUACCGGCCAUCGCUGGGCGUCCCGUCAGGCCGCACCUGGAGCCCUCGCCCCUUCCCGGUUGCGACGCUCUCUCUGCCCCGCCCAGUUCCUCCCCCGUCCUCCCCGCCGCCCUGCUGACUGGCAGUUGCCUGCACCAAUCCUAAGGCACCCCGAGUCGGGGGCGGGGCCUCACGCCAGAGUUGCCCUGUCAGUGCAGGUGGAGGCCCCCGAAGGGGCAAAGUGGCAGGAACCUCUUAAAGGGCGAGAGCGGCGGAGGGCGAGAACGCGGCCCGGCCCGGCCCGGCCAGGUCCCCGCCCUGUCCAGCCCAGAGAAGAGUUUAGUGGCUGAGGCUGAAAAUCCACAGCACCAACCGCAGAAGGAAGAGGGUGAGGGAGCCACAAGCUCCGGUCAACAGGAAACUCAGUUGGAAGAGGCUUCUCAAACAGCAGCUGAGGGAGAUAAUCAGUGUGAGCAGAAGCUGAAAACAUCUAAUGGAGACACUCCAACACAUGAAGACUUGACCAAGAACAAGGAGCGGACAUCAGAAAACAGGGGCCUGUCACGGCUGUUCUCCUCAUUUCUCAAAAGGCCUAAAUAGCACUGGGAGUUGUGAGAGAAAGAAGCUAGAAAUCAACAAGUUUUUGAAUAUGUGAGGCCUACAGCUUGCUUUCUCUUCUCUUACAGUUGAAUCAGUAUUUGCUUUCUAAUCAAUAUUUUUCUUCUCUAUUUUUCAUCUUUAUUUUUCUCUAUUAUCUAUUUUCCUCUCUUGUAAUAGUUACCUGCUGCUCUUAAAAAUGAUGAGUAUUCUAAAUCAUAUUUGUCAGAAGGAAAAAAGAUCUUAAAAAACUUCAAGUCAGAGACUUUGGCGAUUUAAUGUUGUAACACAAAAUCCUAAGGAUUUGUUUUGUGAUUAUUUUAACUGUAUACUUGUCAUUGCUGUUGCCAAGUCUGAUAAAUGAUCAGAAUUCUACAUUUCUGUUCUUAAUAUGCAUUCUGAGAAAUAUAAACAAUAAGACUGAAGAGCUGGGGAAUCUUAAUCCCAUCAUCUCUUGGGAUGUAGAGAACUUUGCAGAUAAUUUCUAUAAACCUUGUACCAAGAGAUUGAUGCUGUCAAAGAACAGUGUAUAAAUAAGAUCUUUUUAGGAGGGAUAAAACUGUGCUAUACAUAGUUUUGAGCUUUGAAUUUAAAAUAUGCAUUUCACUAAGCUGGCUUUCAGGGGGUCCUAUUUUAAGCUAAUUUCUCUAUGUCAUAACUUUAGCAAGUCAAGCAUUAAUAAUUUAUCCAGGGUGUAUAGGUAAGAUAUUUUUGUGCUUUAAUGGAAAGUCUCAUGUUUAAUGGAUGAGAGCACUGUCUGUUGGUGGUUAAAUACCUAAAGAUACUAACUCUGUCACCCUUGACCUGAUUGAGGGUUUUGCCUUCAGUAAUGCAUUCUGUUUGUAAGAGACCCCCUUUGCCAUC
rnacentral:lncRNA from 1 species